UCGAGAGUAUUGCAGGUCCAAGUGCUUGCAGUAGAGUGAUGUGUAAAUUCAGCAAUCCACUGGCGGAGUAAUGUGCGUAUAGGGAUUAUGCAUUGUGUGAUGAUUCUGCAAUGCCCUGAGUUACGUUUCCGUUAGUUGUCUAUUCCAGUCUGUAUAGGGACUUGACGGUGCAUCAUGCCUUUAUGACAAGUGUAUCUGUUGUUUUCCGGUACAUUCAUUUACAGUGAUUGCUUUUCCG
rnacentral:ncRNA from 1 species